CUGGAAGGAGAGAUGGCUUAAAGGGGUACGCGGGCUUCUUCCGCGAAUCUGCUCCAGGAUGGGACUGCGUCCGAUCAGGCUGUUGGCGGGGUAAUGGCCCACCAAACCUGUAACCGGUACGGGCCUUGAGAGAGGUGGCCCGGAGAUGGACACUGAGAGAAGGGUCCAGGUCCUACGGGGCGCAGCAGGCGCGAAACCUUCGCAAUGCGCGAAAGCGUGACGAGGUUAAUCCGAGUGACUCCCGCUGAGGGGGUCUUUUGUCAGCUGUAAAUAGGCAGGCGAAUAAGGGGAGGGCAAGCCUGGUGUCAGCCGCCGCGGUAAUACCAGCUCCUCGAGUGGUCGGGGCGAUUAUUGGGCCUAAAGCAUCCGUAGCCGGUUCCGUAGGUCCUCUGUUAAAUCCAACCGCUUAACGGUUGACCUGCAGAGGAUACCGCGGGACUAGGAGGCGGGAGAGGCGGACGGUACUCCGCGUGUAGGGGUAAAAUCCUUUGAUCCGCGGAAGACCACCAGUAGCGAAGGCGGUCCGCCAGAACGCGCUCGACGGUGAGGGAUGAGAGCUGGGGGAGCGAACCGGAUUAGAUACCCUGGUAGUCCCAGCCGUAAACGAUGCUAGCUAGAUGAUUCAUUCGCAAGUCGCGAAUGAAGUGUCGCAGGGAAGCCGUUAAGCUAGCCGCCUGGGGAGUACGGUCCCAAGACUGAAACUUAAAGGAAUUGGCGGGGGAGCACCACAAGGGGUGAAGCCUGCGGUUCAAUUGGACUCAACGCCGGU
rnacentral:rRNA from 1 species